AGGGUGUAAACGCUGCGGGCUUGGUGUUGGGGGUCCUUAGUGGGCGCCCAGUGCCGGAGAGAAGUUGUUAAGCCUGCUGCUUGGGGAGUAUGUCCGCAAGGAUGAAACUUAAAGGAAUUGGCGGGGGAGCACCGCAACGGGAGGAGCGUGCGGUUCAAUUGGAUUCAACGCCGAAAAACUCACCAGGAGCGACGGAUAUAUGAAGGUCAAGCUGAUGACUUUACCUGAUUUCCGAGAGGUGGUGCAUGGCGUAGUCGUGU
rnacentral:rRNA from 1 species